rnacentral:rRNA from 1 species
AACAAGGUUUCCGUAGGUGAACCUGCGGAAGGAUCAUUGC